UUUUUCUUUCUUUCUUUUUUUUUUUUUUUCUGGUUUUGCUUUUGGCUGUCAGCUAAGUAGAGGAAGCCGACAGAACCAGCAAGCCAGAAAGGGAAUGAAGACAUUUGGAGAAGAAGCGUUUACUGAAAGGAGAUUCCUGGGCUGGAGGAAAACCAUGAUCUACAGUUCAUGUUGACAGAUAUUGUAUUUUUGGUCCUAGAUCUGACUUUUGAAAUGACUUAUCACAAAUUCAAAUUUAGCAAUCAUGAGUGAAGUACCCACGAUGUGCUAAGCAUCUACCUCUGCAGAUAGAAGAACACUUACUGUUCCUGAGCAUGGGAGGGAAUAGAAGUUCCUGGGUCCUGGCCUCACCUCAUCAGGCACUGCCAAAUUUGACACCUCCUUCCUGUUCACGGCAGUCCUUUGCGAUAGGGUAUUAGAUGCCACCAAGUAGCUGCAUAACUCACCCAUUUGGUCAGAGCCUGGGUCUAAGCCAGGUCUGACAGACUCCAAAGCAAGCCCUGUUUACAGCAUGACUGGGAUCCAGUGGACGAGGGAACUGAGCUGUCAAAACUAAGUGACUUGAUUGAGGCCAUGCAGCUGGCGAGGGGAGGACCAGGAUCUGAACCCAACUGGGUCUCCCAAGCCUGGGCCACUGAACCAUUUCACCUCUUGGAAAAACUUAAUGGUCAGAGUGGCCCACCCAGUCCAUGGACAGCAUGGAGGAUAAACUGCUUCCCUAGAAAUCCUCUCCAGCAUUCUUGCCACCACGACUUUGGGACACAUUGACCAUGAGGAGGAGCUGGUCAAUGAUGGACAGGAGUCCAGAUUAGCAGAGAUGUGGUAAUAAGGACACCGAUGCCUAAAUACUUGAAAUAUCCAAUAGGAAGCAUUCCACCUUUGUGCAAAUGCGAACCACAUCUCACCAAGUUCAGGCCAAGGCUGCCACCGGUGACGUUUUGGAAAAGAAAAAAAAAAGCGGGGGGAGAGGAGAGAAACAGAGAAGCAAGGAAUGCAGAAGAGAGCAGAGGCCACAAAAACAGCAGCAACGUGUCCUGUGUAUUCUGUUUCCUUGUAAAACUAUGAAGCAUGUUAAGGAGAUACUUCAUUUUUUGAGGAUUCAUACUCUUGUUUAUAUUAUAAUAAAAACAACCCAUGUUCUUUCUAAAAAUUUAGGCAAUGCCUUCGUGCACAUAAAAGUAAAACAAAAUCACCUGUAAUCCUACCACACGCAGAUCAGCACUUGCUAAUCUUUUCACAGGGAUCCUAAGAAUAUCCUAUUCUCUAUAGAAUAUAGUUGAUUUAUGUUACCUAAUAACUAACUGUUAACCAUUUUAAAAUUCUUCAGUUUUACAUUAUGCUAGAAAAAAGGAGCCGUCACUCUACGUGACAUUUCUGUAUAUUGGUUUAUUCAUUCAAUAAACAUUUUUUAAGUACC
rnacentral:lncRNA from 1 species